GGACUCGUGGUCUAGGGGUUAUGACGUUGCCUUCACACGGCAGAGAUCGCCGGUUCGAUUCCGGCCGGGUCCACCA
rnacentral:tRNA from 1 species